AACCACGACUCUCGGCAACGGAUAUCUCGGCUCUCGCAUCGAUGAAGAACGUAGCGAACUGCGAUACUUGGUGUGAAUUGCAGAAUCCCGUGAACCAUCGAGUCUUUGAACGCAAGUUGCGCCCGAAGCCAUCAGGCCGAGGGCACGUCUGCCUGGGCGUCACGCA
rnacentral:rRNA from 1 species